rnacentral:rRNA from 1 species
AGAAUCAACGCUGGCGGCGUGCCUAACACAUGCAAGUCGCACGAGAAAGGGUAGCAAUACCUGAGUAAAGUGGCGCACGGGUGAGUAACACGUGAAUUAUCUACCUCCGAGUGGGGGAAUAACUGAGAGAAAUCUUAGCUAAUACCGCAUAACACUUACGAGUCAAAGCAGCAAUGCGCUUGGAGAGGAGUUCGCGGCAGAUUAGUUAGUUGGCGGGGUAAUGGCCCACCAAGACGAUGAUCUGUAUCCGGCCUGAGAGGGCGCACGGACACACUGGAACUGAAACACGGUCCAGACUCCUACGGGAGGCAGCAGUGGGGAAUUUUGCGCAAUGGGGGAAACCCUGACGCAGCAACGCCGCGUGGAGGAUGAAAUAUCUUGGUAUGUAAACUCCUUUCGAUGGGGAAGAUUAUGACGGUACCCAGUAGAAGAAGCCCCGGCUAACUUCGCGCCAGCAGCCGC